rnacentral:rRNA from 1 species
AUGCUACCGACAAAUAUGCUCAAUGCUGCAACCGGUGCUAUGCGGAGUCUGCAUGACAGUGUUCUUUCUUUGGAGAAGCAGCGUCUCAGGGAGAAGGAUGUGGCAUACCCAGUUUUCGCGGCCAAGGUGCCAGAGGGCGAGGGCUUUGUGGAUAACUCCAUCGGGCGUACGAUCGUCCUGCGUUUUGAUGACAUCCACGCUAUGUUGAACCUUCAUCCGCUGCACUACACCUUCGUUCGGCUAUUUUCGCUGAGUAUGGAGAUGCGGAUCAUUCGCGACAAGACCCCGGACAUCGUGAUAGUCGACCCCUUCUACAUGCGUGCCAAGAUCUUGGGCAGCGCUGGGGACCGGCAAGUCACGAGUUCUUACCUCGAAGGCGUCAUUCUGGCAAACCAAGAUAAGGAUAACUUCCUCGUGCCUUACUUUCCCGAGUAA